GGAGUUCAGUCUUCCCAGGCCCACCACGCUUCGCCGUCGGCUUCGCAUGGCACCGCCAGGCAGAACGACGAGGCGAAGCGCGUCCGGCAUAGCCCGAAGGGCGACGCCGGACAGAAAGAGCGCUUCGUCUUCUGGUUACGGGGCCAUAGCUCAGCUGGGAGAGCGCGUGCUUUGCAAGCAUGAGGUCGUCGGUUCGAUCCCGUCUGGCUCCACCAGAUGGUUUGAUCACCGAGAUCUUGACCGUCGUCCGCGAAACAUCACUUCGCAUCCUGCUAGUCUGGAUAGACAGCAAGUUGCGUGUUUUCUGACAUCGUAAAGAGGAGAUCGAUCCGAGUUGGAUCGUGCAACAUAUCGUUGCGCGAGCCUUCAUUAUCUCCGGAUCAUUUCGGCGCUCGCUUCCAGCCGUGAGGUUGGAUGCGGGUUGUAAAUGAUCCUUUUAGCGAAGCUUGACCGCCUCGCUAUCGGAACGAUCUUACGAAGCAAGCUGGUCUUUCUAGUCAAUGUCCGGCUGUACGUAGCAUUCAUCGAGGGUGCGCGCCCGAGAUUUCGGUCUCUUGGCAAUCGUACAGACAACAUUCUGCCGAGUGUGUGGACAUUGAUAAUGAGAGCAAUCAAGUGCCUUAAGGGUGUUCGGUGGAUGCCUUGGCGCUGAGAGGCGAUGAAGGACGUGCUACGCUGCGAUAAGCCGUGGGGAGCUGCGAAGAAGCUUUGAUCCGCGGAUUUCCGAAUGGG
rnacentral:misc_RNA from 1 species